GACAGAGGCCUCAAGCGUUAGGCGGAAUCACUGGGCUUAAAGCGUGUGUAGGCGGAUCGUUAAGUGUCUUGUGAAAUCCCACGGCUCACCCGUGGAACUGCUGGGCAUACUGGCGAUCUUGGGCCAACUAGGGGCAACUGGAACAAGCGGUGGAGCGGUGAAAUGCGUAGAUAUCGCUUGGAACGCCGAAGGUGAAAACAGGCUGCUGGGGUUGCGCCGACGCUGAGACACGAAAGCCAGGGGAGCAAACGGG
rnacentral:rRNA from 1 species